rnacentral:rRNA from 2 species
UACGUAGGUGGCAAGCGUUGUCCGGAUUUACUGGGCGUAAAGCGUAUGCAGGCGGAUGAGUAAGUAGGAAGUGAAAGGUUGGAGCUCAACUCUAACACGGCUCCCUAUACUGCUUGUCUUGAGUGCCGGAGAGGACAAGGGAACUUCACGUGUAGCGGUGAAAUGCGUUGAGAUGUGAAGGAACACCAAUGGCGAAAGCACUUGUCUGGACGGAAACUGACGCUGAGAUACGAAAGCCAAGGGAGCGAACAGG